UAGGGAAUAUUGCGCAAUGGGGGAAACCCUGACGCAGCAACGCCGCGUGGGUGACGAAGCUCUUUGGAGUGUAAAACCCUGUCAGCGGGAAAGAAACGGUUGUACAGGAAAUGGUACAGCCCUGACGGUACCCGCAGAGGAAGUUCCGGCUAACUCCGUGCCAGCAGCCGCGGUAACACGGGGGGAACGAGCGUUGUUCGGAUUUACUGGGCGUAAAGGGUGCGUAGGCGGGUUGGUCAGUCGGAUGUGAAAUCUUACGGCUUAACCGUAAGGGGCCAUUCGAAACUGCCAGUCUUGAGUAUGGGAGAGGAAAGCGGAAUUCCUGGUGUAGCGGUGAAAUGCGUAGAUAUCAGGAGGAACACCGGUGGCGUAGGCGGCUUUCUGGACCAAUACUGACGCUGAGGCACGAAGGCCGGGGGAGCAAACAGGAUUAGAUACCCUGGUAGUCCCGGCGGUAAACGAUGGGCACUAGGUGUCGGGGGUAUCGACCCCUCGGUGCCGCAGUUAACACAUUAAGUG
rnacentral:rRNA from 1 species